CGGGAGGAAGUGGCACGCCAGGAGCGUCGUCUGCUAGCCGGCUACCUCAGCUGUUCAGACUGGGGCUCUGGCUGUGUCGAAAGACUGGCCUGUGAGACACACAGUCCUGCUUCCCCUGUCACCCCUACGGAGCGAAACGUCGUAGACAUGGUCAUUUCUGAGAUAAUAAACAACGAGUUCGUUGAUGAAGGCGUGAAGAAAGACGUGGUGAGAGCAAGGAAAGUUGGACGUGUAGGGGGAGACUGUCGCUCAUUCCGCUGUCCAGAACUGGAUACAUCCAAUGCAGCUAACAAAGUGAUCCACAAGUAGAAUACAUGUUAUGGUUCACUUAUAGAUAUUGUCAUAAUGCGAAUUUAUCAUUGACGAUGUCAGGUGUGGGAUUUCUGUUUACUUUUAGAUUGUAAAACAAGAAUAAUUAAAAAAUAUGUAACUCCAAUAUUUUUGACAAUUAUAUUUGACCUAACUCAA